rnacentral:snRNA from 1 species
AGCUUUGUGUAGUGGCAGUAUCGUAGCCAAUGAGGUUUAUCCAAGGUGCAAUUAUGGCUAAUUGAAAAUAUUUUUACCAGGCCCCAAAGAAAUCUUGUACCCAUAAACA